CCUUAACAAUAUAGGUGAAACAAUUUCCCGUAGGGAUUCUGUACAGGUUUUUUGGUAUACGGGAGGAAUUUUGCACACACUGAGGGUUAGUUCGAAAUUUCAACAAUAGAUGGCUUUAUGAUUUCGAAUUUCACCAAUAGGUGGCUUUGAUUACUUUUUCGGCAAAAGGUGGUGGGUCGGUCGAAUGUUUCACAAUUUCACCAAUAGAUGGCGGCUUUGAUUAAAGCUCUGAUUUUUUCUGGGGUGGGUUUGAACUACGCGCUUAGAAGUUUUCCCCAUCUAUGCUACCGCUACCUAGUCGAGUCGAGUUCGAGCAUGUAUCUUGCUUGAAUCGGGUAAAACCAGUAAAUGUUAAAAGCAAAGCAAAUAGCUUUUGUUUAUAUCAUGGUUUAUAUAUACUGCCACUCCAGCCACCAGCCAACUUUACUCUCCAGCCAUUAACAUUUAACCAGAAAUACAGUGAAUCACAAGAAGAGUGGCUCACACCCUCACAGAAUUUGCAUUUCAGGAAAGUGUACUAAAUUUGAAAAACUACCCUACAUCCUCCAUCAAGGAGGAGAAAAAUUGGUUGUUAAAUAGGACAAAUCAAACACAGGCUACAACAGCUGGAUGAAUUUUAAGAGCAUGUGAGUGAACACAAGGUACUUUUGAGUUUUGAUGGUUAUGACUUUGUCUCACGAGUUACACAAAUCAGUAAUGAACUCCAACAGGCCUGGGAUUUAGAUCAAAGAGUCAAAGCCCUAAAAACUUUAAUUCAGUGCUCUAUUAUUCUGUUUAAAUCUCACCUCUUUGCUUUUUAUCUGAGCAAAUUUGUCCUCAUUAUUUACCCUCAUUUUCAUAAUUUUGGUCAAAUGGUUGUUUGAAGGCAUUGCUGAUAAAGAUAUCAGGCUUGUUGGUUUAGGAAAUUGGAUACAUCUACACUGGUUUCUCCCAGUAUUGGCAGUGAGAAAAUGUCUGGGAAACCACUGAGGGCAAGAUCAUCAACUGUAAAGGAAUGGAUUGGAUCAAGGCGUUGGCCAAUCAUCUAUGGUAUGUCAUUUCCCCGGUUGGGACUAUCACUUGCCUUGCUCGAGUACGAGGCCUCUUGUGGAAUAUCGUCAAAUCUAUGCCAAUGAGCCAUCUCCUUCCUAUUCAUCAACAUGUACUUCGUUGAGAGACUUGGAGAGUUGGAAAAUUGUAGCCUCUUCCGUUAUGCCAUUUUUGUCGCGAUGCAUUUGAAAUCGUCACCAUCUUUUGCGUUUGUCGCGUAGCGUUUGUGGAAGACAUCCUCGGCCGUCAUAUCGGACAAGAAAAAUACGAGCAGUGCGAGCGUUUCCUCGUCGAAAAACUUUGCGUUCCGUCUCAGUGGAUUGAUAAAUGUCGGGCAGUUAAGGCGCUUUAUGCGUUUAAUCCGAAACUUCAUGCCACUUCCCUGCUUGCCAGAACUUUACAGCCAAGCACACGACAUCAUUUGUGAUGAACUUGCCCCGGAAGCUAUCCUGUCUGAAACCUAUCUGGAGUUAGAGGAACUCUUGGCUCUCUUGGCUGACCCGGAACGAUUCAGUACGAUUGCCGAUUGGUACGGUAGAGGAUAAUUCCAGUAAAAAGGGAAUGCAACUAGAAUCUCUGCAAGUUGGUGUCCUCUCUACCCGUACCCUCCGCCAAGCACAGGCUUGUUCGCACGGAAAUAGCCCAGAAAGCGGCUAACAUUUUAAAAAACAUUAUCGGACUCCAGUUAAAGUUGCUUAUUGAAGUGAAAAAUUCCUGGUCAUUUUAGCUCAAAUUUAUUUGAUCUCUCAUUAGUCGGUCAGCGCAUCCGAGGAAAUUGUAGUUCACCCUCGUUUUGUCCUGAUUCAACAAUUCCGUCAGCUUCCUGUGACGCAGGAUUACUCAUUCUAAGAGCUUAACAACGUUGUUCGUGCGUACUUUCUCGAAAGUUUUGAAUGUUCGAAAGGUGCCAAGUUAAAAAGAUCCUGUAUUUUUUUACUUUUAUUUCAAAAUUGUCCUCGGGAUCGACUGUGAAUUUGCGUCUUAUACUCUUAUGUAAACUAAACAUUACUAACCCAAAUCUAGAGCAAAUGUCAUAGGUAACACUUCAACCCUCGCCUUAUCGUGUUAUAGUGGCUGUAUAAAAAAGGACUGAAUAACUUGUGAAUAAAACUGUGUUAAAUUUA